GGAUUGAACGCUGGCGGCAGGCCUAACACAUGCAAGUCGAGCGGCAGCACGGGUACUUGUACCUGGUGGCGAGCGGCGGACGGGUGAGUAAUGCCUAGGAAUCUGCCUGGUAGUGGGGGAUAACGCUCGGAAACGGACGCUAAUACCGCAUACGUCCUACGGGAGAAAGCAGGGGACCUUCGGGCCUUGCGCUAUCAGAUGAGCCUAGGUCGGAUUAGCUAGUUGGUGGGGUAAUGGCUCACCAAGGCGACGAUCCGUAACUGGUCUGAGAGGAUGAUCAGUCACACUGGAACUGAGACACGGUCCAGACUCCGUACGGGAGCAGCAGGUGGGAAUAGUUGG
rnacentral:rRNA from 1 species